rnacentral:lncRNA from 1 species
CGCCACUAUUCCUCACUGCAUGUCAGCACUAAGGGGCUGUUUGGUUGCAUAUAGUUACAACUACACUGCAGUUGUAACUGUAUGUAAAUACAAAUUUCGUAUUUGGUUUGAUAUAUUUAACUUCAACUGCUGCUGUAGGAACUGUAGGAGGAGGCCCAACUACAGCAGAUCGAACUACGCCCAAAUUGGCCGUGGUUCCAACUACAGCAGUUGGAGAGAGUAACUUUAAAUAAAAAGUAUGCUUACCUCAAUAUUUUCUAAACAAAAAUAAUUUUUCUCUUUUACAUUGGAGGUAAUCUACCAUCAUAUAUAUAAAAUAAUAAAAUUUAAAAAAUUAUUUCUCAACUGCAUGCAACUAUACAAAUUAUUUAUACUUACAGCACUUUCUACUAUAUCCAAUCAAAUAUGAUUCAUAUAGUUAUAAUUGCUGUAUUUUCAAUUGCAUGCAUCUCUAACUACACUGUAAUUAUAAUUGCAUCUGACCAAACAGCCCCUAAUUACUUUUCGGACUACAACCUUCUUU